GGAUGCGAUCAUACCAGCACUAAAGCACCGGAUCCCAUCAGAACUCCGAAGUUAAGCGUGCUUGGGCGAGAGUAGUACUAGGAUGGGUGACCUCCUGGGAAGUCCUUGUGUUUCAUUCC
rnacentral:rRNA from 2 species